AUACGUAGGGGGCGAGCGUUAUCCGGAAUUAUUGGGCGUAAAGAGUACGUAGGUGGUUUCCUAAGCGAGGGGUUUAAGGCACUGGCUUAACCAAUGUUCGCCCCCCGAACUGGGGAACUUGAGUGCUGGAGAGGAAAGCGGAAUUCCUAGUGCAGCGGUGAAAUGCGUAGAUAUUAGGAGGAACACCAGUGGCGAAGGCGGCUUUCUGGACAGUAACUGACACUGAGGUACGAAAGUGUGGGGAGCAAACAGGAUUAGAUACCCUGGUAGUCCACACCGUAAACGAUGAGCACUAGGUGUCGGGCUCGCAAGAGUUCGGUGCCGCAGUUAACGCAUUAAGUGCUCCGCCUGGGGAGUACGUACGCAAGUAUGAAACUCAAAGGAAUUGACGGGG
rnacentral:rRNA from 1 species